AUGCAGAUUCUAAUUCAAGAGAUCCAAGCCGGUCCCCAAGACUGCAUCUCUAAUAAGCUUCCAGGAGAUGCUGUGGACAUAGACAAAGUAUCUGCAGGACUGAAGAAGGACCAGAACACAAAACAGGAGCAAGUAGACGGGAUCUCCAAGGCCCAGCCAUCCUCCUACUCCUUCCCAGUCACAGACCCUGAGUGCCACCCUCCCUUCCCUACACACAGCAGGACUCAGCUCCUUCCCGACAUGAUGUCACAGGUCCCCGGACAUUCCACAGUAUCCUGGAGACCAAGGCGGGUGAAGCUGAGGACCUUCAGGGGAAGGUCUUCCUCCUUCGGCUGGAGGGAACAUGGCAGGGAACAGAGGAAUGACCGUGUUUGUCCUGCUGCUGUCCUGCUGGCACGAAGCCAAGCUCCAUCCAGUAAGAAUAUUUUCAGGUCCAAGUACUGUACUGCCACCAAAUUUAAGAAUUUUGGACGACGAUGUGGCUGGAGUAUUUGAUGAAAUUCUAGUCCAAGAGAUCUUGGAUCCAAGCAAUUCAUCACUGCUUGUAACACAAAGGCUACUAUCAAAAUCAAGAGCUUUGAAGAAAGAAAGCAAGUAUACAUUUUUUAAACCUACAACUGCGUGUGUCCCUGGGUCUAUGGUGGUGGAGACACAAUCCCAUCAUUCUGCCUUUAGGCAGAAUCAUUCUUUAGGGGCAACUACAUCUGGGACAAAAGCAAAUGACGGGGAAAGAAACAGUUGUCCCAAACCAUUUCUAGGACCUCCCCAAGACUGAGGAGUUUGAGCCUGGGCUGGCGGAGACGAGUUCCCUUUAUUUUGGGGUGGUCUCUGGGGUGCACACACAAGCAAGGUCUUGUGCUCCAGCUGCAAGUCAGGCUCAGCCACCACAGGCACACGGGGCCCAUGAAACAGGCACUUUCCACUGCCAGCACCCUGACGCGGGCCUAAGCCUCCUGAGACGGGCGCGGUGACCAGGACCCCGUUCCACGGGGAUAGAACUAAGGUCAGAAGGACUCGCCCAAGGCCCCCCAGUCAGUACAGUAGUGAGCCAAGAUAAAGAACGUGCUUUGCUGAAGUGCAGCUCCGUGGUGUUCAGCACCCACCGAGGCCAGUGAACAGCACGCAGAGAACCGAGGCAGAGGGUCUGGGUGACACCUGCUCAGGGGACACAGGGAUCACAAUCUACAUGCGGUGCACACACUGCAUCCAGGGCCAGGGAAGUUCAGCCUCGCCCCAGGACGGUGCUUCCAGAGGUCAACUCCAGUUCCUGGGAUCAGCAUCACCCACGGUCUGCCGCGGCCCACAUGGCGGGGCUCGAGGGGGUCAGAUGAUGCCUGUGCACUUGCCAAAGCCCAUUUCCAGUAGGACUCGAAAACUCCAGCAGCAUUCCAUAAAAUACAGGGUGGACCCAAAGGUCCGUGUAUGUGUAAUCAAAAAAUCAUUUCCUUAUUUUUUCCAUGUUCUUCAUCAAAGAUACCACACUGAAAAGGAGUUU
rnacentral:lncRNA from 12 species